CAUAUCAAAAGCGGAGGAAAAGAAACUAACAAGGAUUCCCCUAGUAACUGCGAGUGAAGCGGGAAAAGCUCAAAUUUAAAAUCUGGCGGUCUUUGGCCGUCCGAGUUGUAGUCUGGAGAAGUGCUUUCCGCGCUGGACCGUGUAUAAGUCUCUUGGAACAGAGCGUCAUAGAGGGUGAGAAUCCCGUCUUUGACACGGACUACCAGUGCUUUGUGAUGCGCUCUCAAAGAGUCGCGUUGUUUGGGAAUGCAGCGCAAAAUGGGUGGUGAAUUCCAUCUAAAGCUAAAUAUUGGCGAGAGACCGAUAGCGAACAAGUACCGUGAGGGAAAGAUGAAAAGCACUUUGGAAAGAGAGUUAAACAGUACGUGAAAUUGCUGAAAGGGAAACGCUUGAAGUCAGUCGCGUUGUCCGGGACUCAGCCUUGCUUCGGCUUGGUGCACUUUCCGGAUGACGGGCCAGCAUCGAUUUUGACCGCUGGAAAAGGGCUGGAGGAAUGUGGCACCUUCGGGUGUGUUAUAGCCUCCAGUCGCAUACGGCGGUUGGGAUCGAGGAACGCAGCACGCCUUACGGCGGGGGUUCGCCCACCUUCGUGCUUAGGAUGCUGGCAUAAUGGCUUUAAACGACCCGUCUUGAAACACGG
rnacentral:rRNA from 1 species